GAUGAACGCUGGCGGCGUGCUUAACACAUGCAAGUCGAACGAACCUUCGGGUUAGUGGCGGACGGGUGAGUAACGCGUGGGAAUCUGCCCUCAGGAGGGGGAUAACGGUUGGAAACGACCGCUAAUACCCCAUAUGCCGAGAGGUGAAACGAAUUUCGCCUGAGGAUGAGCCCGCGUCUGAUUAGCUAGUUGGUGGGGUAAAGGCCUACCAAGGCAUCGAUCAGUAGCUGGUCUGAGAGGAUGAUCAGCCACACUGGGACUGAGACACGGCCCAGACUCCUACGGGAGGCAGCAGUGGGGAAUUUUCCGCAAUGGGCGCAAGCNUGACGGAGCAACGCCGCGUGAGGGAUGAAGGCCUCUGGGCUGUAAACCUCUUUUCUCAAGGAAGAAGAUCUGACGGUACUUGAGGAAUAAGCCACGGCUAAUUCCGUGCCAGCAGCCGCGGUAAUACGGGAGUGGCAAGCGUUAUCCGGAAUUAUUGGGCGUAAAGCGUCCGCAGGCGGCCUUGAAAGUCUGUCGUUAAAGCGUGGAGCUUAACUCCAUUUCGGCGGUGGAAACUACAAGGCUUGAGUGUGGUAGGGGCAGAGGGAAUUCCCGGUGUAGCGGUGAAAUGCGUAGAUAUCGGGAAGAACACCAGUGGCGAAGGCGCUCUGCUGGGCCAUAACUGACGCUCAUGGACGAAAGCUAGGGGAGCGAAAGGGAUUAGAUACCCCUGUAGUCCUAGCCGUAAACGAUGAACACUAGGUGUCGGGGGAAUCGACCCCCUCGGUGUCGUAGCUAACGCGUUAAGUGUUCCGCCUGGGGAGUACGCACGCAAGUGUGAAACUCAAAGGAAUUGACGGGGGCCCGCACAAGCGGUGGAGUAUGUGGUUUAAUUCGAUGCAACGCGAAGAACCUUACCAGGGUUUGACAUCCUGCGAAUCCCUUGGAAACUUGGGAGUGCCUUCGGGAGCGCAGAGACAGGUGGUGCAUGGCUGUCGUCAGCUCGUGUCGUGAGAUGUUGGGUUAAGUCCCGCAACGAGCGCAACCCACGUCUUUAGUUGCCAGCAUUUAGUUGGGCACUCUAGAGAGACCGCCGGUGAUAAACCGGAGGAAGGUGUGGAUGACGUCAAGUCAUCAUGCCCCUUACAUCCUGGGCUACACACGUACUACAAUGCUACGGACAAAGGGUUGCAAACUCGCGAGAGCUAGCUAAUCCCAUAAACCGUGGCUCAGUUCAGAUCGUAGGCUGCAACUCGCCUACGUGAAGGAGGAAUCGCUAGUAAUCGCAGGUCAGCAUACUGCGGUGAAUACGUUCCCGGGCCUUGUACACACCGCCCGUCACACCAUGGAAGUUGGCCACGCCCGAAGUCGUUACUCCAACCCGCAAGGGAGGAGGAUGCCGAAGGUGGGGCUGAUGACUGGGGUG
rnacentral:rRNA from 1 species